rnacentral:sRNA from 1 species
UUAAGAGACGGUAGUGAAACAA